UGUUUUCACUUGUUGCCUGAUUAGACCUCCUCUCAGGACUCUGUGGGCAUGAACACAUUGUGAUUAACUGACAGCACUCACUCACCUGUUAAGUUUUGUUGCAUCUUUCAGGGCAGAAAAACACCUUUUACUUAUUAUUUGUACAGGUGUUUUGUCAGCUGUAGAGGAGGGGAGGGGCUUUGAUGAAAAAGAAUGGUCAGCACCACCUCAUCCUGACAGACCAAACACACCGUCCAAGGGAAAAAACAGGAUGCGCCGCUGCGGAUGACGUCAUGCCCUCGACUGGACGAGUAGCUGUAACAACCAACGAGGGAGCGAGUGAAAGAAUAAAGAAGCACAAGCCUGUGCCCUGAGAACCGUUGGCCCUAAUGGAACUACAGCAUGUUCUCUGCUCACCAUCGACUGUCUGGCAACCAACGUGGGAAGAUAGCAAGUAUCAUCCAUCUCACCAUCUGUUUCCAGUCUGAUCUCGAGCGCACAGCUGAUAGAUGGAAGAACUGGUGGGUCCGAGGCAUCCUCACACUAGCCAUGAUCUUCUUCUUCAUCAUCCACCUGGGCCCCAUGGUUCUUCUGAUGAUUGUGAGUACAAACAAUGCUGAUGGUGCUGUGCUAAAGCUUGGACACUUCUUGAGUUACCUUACAGAAAAUGUGUUGCUUCACUGGAGUGAAACACCUACUUACAGUCCGGACUGUUUUUACCCUUUCUAAGAAGAUAUCGCAGAUCUGGUUACUUCAUAAGCAGUACCACUCCCUUUUCGUUGGAGAUCUACUCGCUGCCCUGCGAGGCCUCACUCGGCUCGCUGACCUUAAGAUAACGCCUCGGAGACACUUCAAGCCCGGGAUGCACAGGGGGGCGCACCACCGGCUGCUGAAUAGUCAGCCCACCUUUUUCCUGUCCUGGCAUCCUGAGGGUCACCCGAGUGAGGAAGACGUCAGCAUCGCUGCCGCCGUCACCAUCAUCGACACUAACAUCAUCAUCAUCUAUGGAAGGCCAAAGUCAGCCCACCUUUUUCCUGACCUGGCAUCCGAAGGACACCCAAGUGAGUGAGACGUCAGCGUCACCGUUGCUGUCCCCCGCCACCAUCAUUGACACCAACAUCAUCAUCAUCUAUGGAAGGUGCAGCCGAGAGUGGACAAGGAAAUGCCAUGGCCCAAUGAGCCAGAAUGCAGGGGUCGCUGUCGUCAUAGAGACUGGCCACUGAUACAGCCAAUUACAAACCAGGUCUUGCAGAAGGAUGGCACUGGGCAGGAACGUCAAACAGCGGUGGACAAGUCAGGUUGGUCAAUAAGAGAGACAUCGUUUGAAUCUACUUGCUGCUGUUUAGAUCCUAAGGGUCCGAUAGUGGUCUGUACAACUAGCACUUGAGCUCAAAUUUACUUCAUGCAUUCGUGUAGCCACAUGGGCAAGUGUGACGCAAAUUUUGUCAUCUUCUUGCGGAACAUAUCUGCGUACACAGACACCCAAUGUGGUAUGCAGAGAAAUGUGCCCGCUGUCCUUUUUUGAGUACUUGUCAGCGCCUUUUACAAUGUAAUCAGCGAGUAACAAGUUGGUUGGAGGCAGGGGUUUGCUCUAGACCUGCGCAACUCGUCUCACAAUAUGUUUUUACCUUACAAAAUAUUCUGCAUCAGUCCAUAUCUGUUGCCGUAUAGCCUUUCAAAUACAAUAUUUUCACUACGGUCAAAAAACAUCAUAAAAUAAU